GUGGGGAAUAUUGGACAAUGGGCGAAAGCCUGAUCCAGCAAUGCCGCGUGAGUGAAGAAGGCCUUAGGGUUGUAAAGCUCUUUUACCCGGGAAGAUAAUGACUGUACCGGGAGAAUAAGCUCCGGCUAACUCCGUGCCAGCAGCCGCGGUAAUACGGAGGGAGCUAGCGUUGUUCGGAAUCACUGGGCGUAAAGCGCACGUAGGCGGCUUUGUAAGUUAGAGGUGAAAGCCCGGGGCUCAACUCCGGAACUGCCUUUAAGACUGCAUCGCUUGAAUCUGGGAGAGGUAAGUGGAAUUCCGAGUGUAGAGGUGAAAUUCGUAGAUAUUCGGAAGAACACCAGUGGCGAAGGCGGCUUACUGGACCAGAAUUGACGCUGAGGUGCGAAAGCGUGGGGAGCAAACAGGAUUAGAUACCCCGGUAGUCC
rnacentral:rRNA from 1 species